rnacentral:rRNA from 1 species
GAUGAACGCUGGCGGCGUGCCUAAUACAUGCAAGUCGAGCGAACAGACGAGGAGCUUGCUCCUCUGACGUUAGCGGCGGACGGGUGAGUAACACGUGGAUAACCUACCUAUAAGACUGGGAUAACUUCGGGAAACCGGAGCUAAUACCGGAUAAUAUAUUGAACCGCAUGGUUCAAUAGUGAAAGACGGUUUUGCUGUCACUUAUAGAUGGAUCCGCGCCGCAUUAGCUAGUUGGUAAGGUAACGGCUUACCAAGGCAACGAUGCGUAGCCGACCUGAGAGGGUGAUCGGCCACACUGGAACUGAGACACGGUCCAGAAUCCUACGGGAGGAAGCAGUAGGGAAUCUUCCGCAAUGGGCGAAAGCUUGACGGAGCAACGCCGCGUGAGUGAUGAAGGUCUUCGGAUCGUAAAACUCUGUUAUUAGGGAAGAACAAAUGUGUAAGUAACUAUGCACGUCUUGACGGUACCUAAUCAGAAAGCCACGGCUAACUACGUG